GAAAUGGUUCAAAUUUGGUGAGAGAGGAAGAACGUGAAAAAAAAAGGAAUGACAAUUUGUUUGUUAGAGAAAGUGGAGGCCACUGGAAUGACAGUUUUUGGAAGUGUGGAGCAGUUUGGCUAAGAAUAGGAAUGAAAGAUAUUUUUUUCCAGUUCCUUGUCGCCAGAGUGAGGAAGCGCCAUUCCCUGUCUUGCUUGCAUACAUUGCCAGUUGUGUCUCCUCUACGUAAAACAGAAAGGGGUUCAUACUCAUCUUAUGGGAGAGAAAACGUACAGGGUUGCCACCAGCAGAGUCUCCUCGGAGGGGACAUGGAUAUGGGCAACCCAGGAACCCUUUCGCCCACCAAACCUGGCUCCCAGUACUACCCAUAUUCCAGCAAUAACGCCCGACGGAGGCCUCUUCACAGUAGUACCAUGGAGGUGCAGACAAAGAAAGUCAGAAAAGUUCCUCCAGGCUUGCCAUCUUCAGUAAGUGCUGCCUGUCUUUUUUUUUAGCUCUGUACUUUGUCCAUUGUGUAUGUGUUUGGUGUCAGUAGAAGGCUAAC
rnacentral:lncRNA from 1 species